UCGGGAAUUUUGGGCAAUGGGGGAAACCCUGACCCAGCCAUGCCGCGUGGAUGAUGAAGGCCUUAGGGUUGUAAAAUCCUUUCGUGGGGGACGAUAAUGACGGUACCCCAAGAAGAAGCUCCGGCUAACUUCGUGCCAGCAGCCGCGGUAAUACGAAGGGGGCUAGCGUUGUUCGGAUUUACUGGGCGUAAAGCGCGUGUAGGCGGGUCGUUAAGUUGGGGGUGAAAUCCCGAGGCUCAACCUCGGAACUGUCUUCAAAACUGGCGACCUGGACUCAAGUAGAGGCAAGUGGAAUUGCGAGUGUAGAGGUGAAAUUCGUAGAUAUUCGCAGGAACACCAGUGGCGAAGGCGACUUGCUGGACUUGUAGUGACGCUGAGACGCGAAAGCGUGGGGAGCAAACAGGAUUAGAUACCCGAGUAGUCCCUGAGCGGGCUGGCAAGGCGCAU
rnacentral:rRNA from 1 species